rnacentral:rRNA from 1 species
CGUUCCCGGGCCUUGUACACACCGCCCGUCAAGCCAUGGAACUAGGGGUACCCGAAAACGCUGUGUCAACCGCAAGGAGACAGGCGUCUAAGGUAAAACUAGCGACUGGGGCU